rnacentral:rRNA from 1 species
UACGGGGGGGGCAAGCGUUGUUCGGAAUUACUGGGCGUAAAGGGUUCGUAGGUGGCCAACUAAGUCAGACGUGAAAUCCCUCAGCUUAACUGGGGAACUGCGUCUGAUACUGGUUGGCUUGAGUGCAGGAGAGGAAUGCGGAAUUCCAGGUGUAGCGGUGAAAUGCGUAGAUAUCUGGAGGAACACCGGUGGCGAAGGCGACACCCUGGACCGGUAUUGACGCUGAGGCGCGAAAGCCAGGGGAGCAAACGGG